UCUGGAAACCGUGCCCAUACCUGCAAGACCAUGACGCCCAAGCUUAGUCUGACAAGUGUGAAUGUACUUAGGAGGGCACUGCAGCAGGGGACUGAAAGCAGGACAGCACAGGAGUUCCAGAACAGUGAUCACCAACGCGGAUGGUGAAAGCCAUUGCAGUCAGAACAAACAGGGCACAGAAUUGACUGAAAUACCUGUUGUGAGCCAGGCACGCGGGACGCUGAGGAGACAGUGAGCAGAUCCGAACAGCAGCUGGGUCCAAGGAAGCUGAAGAGACCAUGGAGGAGAUAUCAACCCUCCCCAUACCUGAAGCUAAGCCCACCUGAUCCUCAGCUGAGCCCAGUGAGAGCACAGAAUAUUCACAGGCCCAAGAGUGAAAAUAAAUGCCUGUAAUGGUAAGUCAUGGAGCUGUUUGUUAUACAGCCUUGUUGUCUGUAGCUGACUAGUACAACCCCAAAUGAUUAUUUAAAAGU